rnacentral:rRNA from 1 species
CCCUUAGAUGUUCUGGGCCGCACACGCGCUACAAUGGCGAAUUCAACAAGUAGACCAAAGCCGACAGGUGGAGGUAAACUCGUAGUAUUCGCCGUGAUGGGGAUAGACCCUUGUAAUUAUUGGUCUCCAACGAGGAAUUCCUAGUAGACGCAAGUCAUCAACUUGCAUCGAUUACGUCCCUGCCCUUUGUACACACCGCCCGUCGCACCUACCGAUUGAACGGUCCGGUGAAAUCUCCGGACUGGCGUGAGUCGGAGCAAUCUGACAAACACCGGAAGGUUGAUUAAACCUUACCAUUUAGAGGAAGGUGAAGUCGUAACA